AUCCCUGUGGCUCAGUUGGUAGAGCAUGGUGUUUGCAACGCCAGCAUGGUGUGUGCAACGCCAGGGUUGUGGGUUCAAUUCCCACAGGGGGCC
rnacentral:tRNA from 1 species